rnacentral:lncRNA from 1 species
UUAAAAACAAAGCUUAAUUAAAACCAUCCAUAUAGGAGGUACAAGAACAUAAAAUAAAAACAAAACUUAAUUAAAAACCAUCCAUGUAGGAGGUAAUCAAAACAUAUUUAUAUUAUACAUAAGGAGAAAUAUCUUACAAUAUACGAGGGUAGGAAAUCUUGAAGAAAGCUUGAAAGCUUGAAGGACUUACAUGAUGAGAGAGAAAGAAGAGAGAAGGGAAAGCAUAAGCUUGAGAGAGGUUUCAUAUCUAAAAUUAUGCGUGCUUACAAAUGAGGACCGAGCCUCCUUAAAUAGGCAAAAAGGAAUCUUGAAUAGUAAUAAUGAACAGUAGACCCGUGCUUGAAUAGUGCUUGAAUAGUAAAAGUGAACAGUAAGAGGGAACUGUAGCACUUUUGACUUUUGACCCGGAAUCUUGCUUUCGACUGAAAUGACUUCUGACAGGCUUCUUUAAACUGUGUGGACACAUGCUUGCUGCAUUUGGUGCAGAAACUGCAAAGCUUGAAAUAUUCUUGAUGGAAGACAUAAGGCUGAUGAUUACUUAGAUCUUCUUAUUGGAGGAAGGAUUCCUUCACAAUCAUCACCAUUGUCUGGAAGGUAGCUUGUUGAAUCAUCAGACUUUGCAUAAGAAUUUUCUUGGGAGAAGCUUGAGCUUCCUUCUUCAAGGAUUUUUUGGAAAUCUUGAGGGGUCUUAGCUGCUGCGAGCAUGGCUUGUAACUGUUGCUUUUUGAGGAGAAACUGAGACAUAUCAUCACUGGCUGAGACUUGUGUGGGAUUCUUGAGGAAAUACUGCUUGACUGCAUCAAUAGAUGCAUCAUUUUUCAAGGCAUCCCACCAUUUAGUUUUAAAAGUCCUUCCUAGAGAUGGAAAGGCUACUGAUUCGUCUGUAAUGAUAAUAUAGUCCCACUGGACUAUCCAAGCAAGGCCAAAAUUGCUGAAAAAGAAUAGUAAAGAGGGAAAAGCUGAAAGUUCUCUGGGGAUAUCAAAAGAACUUCUGAAUAGCUCAAAGCCAUCCAGGAUGGGCUUAGGAAGAAUCUUAAUAGUCGGACCAUAAUAAGUCCACCAACUGUAGAACCAAAAUGGGAAAGAGGAAAGCUGAUUCUUAGAUGGAAAAUAGAACAUCCAUGAAUGAUGGAAGUCCCUAUUCUAGAUCAGAAAAGCAUUAAACCAUGCUCUCUGAUAAUCCCAAUAAUUAAAAAACCUUGGCUUUGAUGGUUCAGAAAAUUCCCUUGAAAGAUUAGGAUUUCCACCCCAUUGCUUGACAGUAAGAAUCUUAUAGAUAUGGCAGGUGGAGAAUGUCAAACCCAUAUUGCUGAAUUUGUCAGCAUUAUGCUUAAUUUUAACAGAACCAGUUUCUGUAAGGACUGUUUCAUAAAACUCUCUUGUUUUUAAAAUAUCACCAGAGGGAUAAUGAAAAUUUUCUUGAAAAGCUUUUACAGCAAUCUCUCUAGGGUUUUCAGAGAAAAAUUCUCUUUCAAUAACCAAAAGAGAUUGAUUUAAAUCAUUUUGCCAAUAUCUUGAUUUUGUUGAAAGAGGUGUGGGGUUGGCAGCCACCACAAUUUGCUUUUUUGAAAAAGAGGAGCUUGAUGCUAAUUCCUUUUGAGAGGGAUUAGCCUUAAUGACUUGCUUGAAGGUCUGAGACCCUGAAAUGGCUGGGUACUGGGUGGCCUUGACUGGAUUAGAUGGAUCAGAAUGAUCAUAGUACAAGGUCAUCAUCUUGUUCGGCAUAGAGUUAGAAGAAUGAAACCUUGCUUCUUCUUCUUCAACUUGUUGGCUCCAUAGCAUUUUAUGGGGAGAAGGAGCUUGACUGGAUUGGGUUUUCUGGUUAGGAGCUUGGGUAUUCUUUUUAGGGGUCAUGGUCUCAUGAACCCUGCAAAUUCCACGAGUUGAGCGAUUAAGAAUGGAACUUUCUCCUUUAAUAAACUUAAUUUGAAAAUUAGGGUUUAAAAUAAUCCAAUCAAUUAAAUUAUACUUAAAAGCUAUAUACUUAAUUGUUUUCUUAGAUGUGAAAAAAACUUUUAAAAUUCCUUGAUUCAAAACAUCAGUUUGAAAUUUUGAAAUGCAUAAAGGAAUGCUUAAAAUAUUAUUUAUAAUAAGAUUAUGAAUGAAUUGGGUACCUAAUAUCUUAGGUGGAUAAUUUAUUCUAACAAGAUUAAUUUCUUGAUCACAAAGAGUGAUGUUUUCAACAGGAUUAGCAAAUUCAAAAAGAAUUUCCUUAUCAAAAAGCUUUGUUCUUAUACCUUGGUUAUCUACCCACAAGGGAUAAAUAGAGCUUAAGAAGGGUAUUCCUAGGAGGGCUUUUUCCUUAAGAUCCUUAACAAGGAUAAAGGUUUGCUUAAUACAGAUGUCAUGAUUACGGAUAUGAACAUCUGUUAAUUUAUACUUAAUGGCAAGUCUUUUGCCAUUGGCUCCAAAUAGAGACUGACUAGUCUCUUCGCAUAAAGGAAUACGUACAAGACCUUCUUGAAGGCAAUUUUCAGCUACUCCUGAAUCAAUCAAAGCAAUAAUAUCAAAGACAAAUUUAUCUUUGACUACUAUAGUAAGGGAGACUUCCCACCUUUGGAAGAUAACCCUACUCACAGUAUUCAAAAAAGUAUCUGUCUCAUUAUCAUUAACAUGAGAAGAUUCUGGAAUAUCCAUGAGGUUUUCUUGGUUGACAAUUCUAUUGAUUUGUUCUUGGAGAUCAGAGAGACUUAGACUUAUGAAUUGUCUUAACUCCGUAAUCUCCUUUUUAUACUGCUUAACUUCUUCAUGAAGUUCCUUAAUGCUGACUUCCUUGGGAGACUGUUGGUCAAACCUAUUUAAGAUAUCAUUAAGGUUAUAAGGAUUAACAGUCUUCUUGGCUUCUACCUUAACAACAGAUUUCUUAAAAGCUUCAUAAAGAUUUUGCUUAGUCUUUUCAUCUUCAACUUUUCUUAAAGUAUCUAGGAUGAAUUCCUGAUCUUGGCUUAUGACAUUUAUAGUUUUAGGACGACAAUUACAAUUACCUUUAAUACAUUUGGCUUGGUCACUAGAAGAUUGACUAGAAACUUCGCCACUACUGUCUAGUUGAUUAAUGUCAUCUUCAUUAUCUGAAUCAGUCCUUGAUUCAGAAUCUAUGGAGUUUAACAUUACCUUACAAAGCAUAUUUUUUAGGUCAUUUGAGACACUUAAGUUAUUAAUCUUUUGCUUAACUCUACAAUCUUUUUUAUAAUGGCCAACUUUGCCACAUUUAAAACAGAUAAUUGGCUUGACAUCUAAAGGAGUUUCUACCUUUUUCUGGAUAUCUUUGUUGACCCUUCUUUGGACGUGCCUUGACUGCUUAGUAUCAUUCAUCCUAUAGUUGUCAUAGGUACCUCUGUUACUGUGGUAAAACUUAUCUUUGCUAGGCUUCCUGCUUGGUUUUUGCUUAGAGGGAGGCAUAGUUUCCUUUUGGCUGAAACCAAACUGGCUACAGAAUGAUCCAAAUUCAUUCUUGUAGAUUUUUUGUUCAUUCUUCAUUUGUUGCUUAAGCUUGAAGUCAUUGCACAACUUAAUCCCUUCAGCUGUGACAAUGCUUAUAAUCUCACCAUAGGUUAGCUUAUCAUAAGGGAUUUGACCAUUAUACUGUUCCCUUAUCUUGAUCCUAAUUCUCUCAGAGAAAAGCUUGGGUAAUCUUGAGAUGAAUUUUUCUUUCCAAAAAGGCUGGUUACAAUCUGACCUUAGCAUGACUUUGGUUAGGAAGACUUCCUUAUACCACCUAAAAUCAUGAAGCUUAGGACACUUAAGGUUGGUUAAGAGAUCUGCAGUUUUAUCUUUAAUUUUUGUAGGAUCUCCAAUGAAGUGCUUGGAUAUUGAGUAGAUUAGAGUAGCCACUGCAUCCUCUAUAUCUUGGCCAUCUUUGUCCUUAACAACUUCACUAUUCUCAUUAAUCCUAUAGGCUUUAAGGAUACUAUUUCUAUCAUCAAAAGUGAGAUAAUUAUCCCACCAACCCUUAAGCUGACCUGUAAACCCAGCAACAAUGGUUUGAGCUACAGCAUGAUUUGGCAGUCUAUUGUUUAAUUUAUAGGCUGUACUUACCAUGGUCAUUUCUUGAAGCUUAGUGAGUAUGUUAUACUCGGUCAUACCGUCUAUGUUCCAUUCAUAGAUAGUGCCACUGGUAUAUGAGGCUUGAGUAUCCUGAUUUCUUUCCUCAAACUGCAUGUCAGGAAAUGUAGGUCUAGGAUAGUAAUUCCUAGUCUUAAAGGUUUCUAAAUUGUUAAUAUCUUUUGAAAUAAUUUGAUUAUGGGGUUCCUCAAACAUUUUAAUUAGUUCAUCUGUUUCUUCUUCUGAACUAAUAUCACCUUUAACCAUAUUGAUUCUCUUAUGAGGCUGAAUAGUGAAAGGAGCAACAAGAUUAUCCUUAAUCUUCUGAUUAAUCCUAUCAACAAAAGUCUGGUUGAUUUGGGGAUUUUCCUGGAAUUCCUUAGAAAAUUCAAAGGCCUUAAUUUUAUCAGUGCUCUUAGUGUUAUUAACACGCUUAUAAGGAUAAUCUGGAUAAUCCUCUUGUUUGAAGAGUUCAAACCAAAUCCAAAACUUAAUAUUUUUCUUUUCUUGUCCUAAGUAGGCAUAGAAUUCUUCUUGGUGAAUGGAUAUAAUGACUUUAAGGAUAGUGCUAAAGAACCAAUCAUUUCUUUGCUUAUUGACUUCAGAAUAGAAGUCCUUUCUUAAGAGAUCCUUGUUGAUCUCAAAGCCCUCAUCACUUAGGCUUAUUGUGUUAAUCAUCUGGGAAUAGGUAGGAGACAUUACAAGGGACUCAUCUUGUUGGGAUUCCUGAGUAGACUCAUUUUCCAUAGUGUAAAAUGGUUUAGCCACGUUGGUGUGACUUCUGACACCUGUUAGCUUAAUAUUCUUAGGAUUUCCUGAGCUAGAACCUUCUUCUUCCCUAGUGGUUGUAACUGGGAUGGAAGAGCUUGAAGCUCUAGAGGGUUCAUAAACAGAAACUCUAGGGCUGCUAGAAUGUCUGAAAGAGUUGGAGAAAACCAGUUCUCCUCUUCCAUCAGGAUAUUGAACAAUUUGUUCAAUACUUUCAGAUCGCUGUGCAAUGGCUGGAACAGCAUUAGCAAAAUGCCAAUUUUCAGGAAACUCAACAUCUUUCCACAAGAUCUUCUUGGGGAUGAUGAAAUCUGACUUAAGAAUGAAAACACAAACUUUGGUUGAAAAAAGUUUUGUUUCAAGCUAACUAAAAAGAAAGUAAUGGAAAUUACUUAUGAAGAAAAACAUUCCUUGGAGGUUUAGGUUCACAGGGGAGGUUCCUCAUGCAAAAACAGAGCUUCGGUCACUUGGUUCAUUUCCUCGCAUUAGAGAAUUAACAUAUAGUCAAUUCUCUAACCGGUGUUGUACAGAUGCAUCCCUUAAAUGGAUUUCAGCUCUAAUUCUCUCUCACUGAUGCAACUUGCAAUGGCUCGUGCCUCUCACCUAGCAUUGCCAUUGAAGGUGAUCAUUAACUUUGGACUUCACUUCUCAAGCUCGUAAGAGAUAACUAAUGGAUGUCUCCUUGGAGUCCAAAAGCUUACCAAGUGUUGGUAAUUCUAGAAAAUCCUACCUUCAAGUCACCUCCCAAAAGCUCGCAAGAGGUAAACUAGUGCAUCUCCAUGGACGGAGAUCACUUGCCUUACCAAGUGUUGGCUCAAGUGAAUUGAAGGUGUUUUAAGUUAACUAAAAACAUAGAAAUCGUUAAAGGAUCACACUUUCUCUUCAUUAAUGGCUAAAACCACAAAGCUACUAAUUCUUGCAUUUGGAACCUUUCCCGGCAACCUUAGUUCCAAGGAACUAAAAGUCUAGCCACUCAUUCUCUGAGGAAACUUCCUCAGAGCUUGUUUGGCUAGAAAGAAAAAUAACAAGAAAACAAAAAUAUAUAUGAAAAGCAGAGCAAGUGCUCUGUAGAUAUAUUUUUCUUCCUCCCGCCGAUUACAUCAUUAUAUAUGAUCGAUGUCUUGUGUAAAGAAAAUUACAAACUAUAUAUAAGAGGUUAUUCACCAUUUGUUCUUACUUAAAGACUAAGGAAUCCUAUGAUAGGUGGGUUACAAGGAGAGUUUAGGGAUUUAGACAUCAAAUAUCUAAAACAAAAAAUCUAAAAAUGUCGGUUGGGAAGCUUCAGGAGAAAUUCCGUUUCACUGUGCAAAAUGGCUGCGAAAAUUUCGCAGCAAAAGGACAACAUUUUCGCAGCCAAAGGCUGAUUUCGCAGCCGUGCAACAUUCUGCCUUCAGCUUGGAGUGAUCUGCUUGCAAUGGCUGUAACUCCUUCAUUUCAACUCCGAAUUGUGCACCGUUUAAAGCAUUAGAUUGUUGACUUCCUGAGCUUAGAAACGACAUAUAGCAUGCUAAAUUGGACUUCAGGAAGUGCUCUAAAAGUGGCUGAAAUGAAUGUCAUCAAGAAUGCUUCAUGGCAGAUUUCUCUUUGCUUUCCCUCCUUGCAUUCCGGAUUUGCUUAUGGAAAAGGACUUUAAAGCUUUGGUUCUUCAUGUUUCUGAGCCUUCCAUUGCUUUGCCAUGGAUUCCAAAGAACUCUCCUCAAUCUCGGAUUGCUUUGGUGAUCAAAAAGCUAUCAAAACACCAAAACUUAACACAAUUUGAUUAGAAUUGAUUGCAAGGGUCCUUAAUAUGUUAAUUGGGUUAAAAGGUAAUAACUAUUACUCAAAAGUGUUUAAAAGAGUUAAUUACAAGCUAUAAAAUAGCACUUUUUGAGUAGUAAUCAUCUUUUCAGGUUUUCGACUUAGCGAACCUUUUUUUUUUUUUUUUUGGUGCGCCAUACGCAAUUUAUGCUCAUGCAAGCUAGGGUGUAGUGUGAGUCAAGCAUAAUAACACUUUAAGAAUUUUUCAUUGAUAGGGCCAAUUCUUAAUCCGUCUUUGGAAAUGAUCUUAUAAGCACCAUUGGUGUAAACUUCUUGCACCACAUAAGGUCCAUCCCAUUUUGAUGUAAAUUUGCUCAUAGUCUUAUGUGUGGUGAUGAUGGGUCUACAAAUGGCAAGAACUAGAUCACUGAAUUGAAAAGAUUGAAGGCAAACCUUUUUGUUGAAAGCUCUUGAAAGGCAUCCUUGAUAACACUCUAAGUGUUGUUGGGCUUCGAGUCACUUUUCAUCUAGUGCUUCUAACUCUUGAAGACGUAACUUGGCAUUAUCUUCAUCAGUUAGUCCUUCAUAUAUAGCAAUCCUUAAUGAAGAGAUUUGACACUCAAGGGACAAUACAACUUCUACACCAUAAAUGAGGGAAUAAGGGGUUUCUUGUGUAGGCAUUUGAUAUGUUGUUCGAUAUGCCCAAAGUGCUUCUCCUACUUGUUCAUGCCAAUCCCUCUUUAACUUAUCAAUAAUUUUCUUCAAUGAGUUGCAAAGAGUCUUGUUGAAUGAAUGCUUCUAAGAGACCAUUGACCGGUGCAUUGUACAUUGAUGAGUUGUGUUGUUUGAAAUCGAACCUCUCAUAGAGAUUGCUCAUCAAUUUGUUAUAGAAGGGGGUUUCCCAUUGUCAGUGAUUAUGUAUUGUGGCACCCCAUAUCGAUAGAUAAUAUUCCUUCGAAUGAAGUUCACUGUAUUUUUUUUUCUUCACUCCUUUAAGUGGCAUAACUUCGACCCAUUUACAAAAAUAAUUUGUUGCUGCCAAUAUGUAAGCAUGCCUAGUAGAGGAUUUAGGAGUAAUGGGUCCAACCACGUCAAGUCCCCACGUAUCAAAUGGCCAUGACAUAAUUGUAGGAUGGAGUGGCUCAAGGGGUUGGUGUAUAAAAUUUGAGUGGAAUUGGCAUCAUUGGCACUUCUUUGCAUAUUCCAUACAAUCCUUGACCAUAGUUGGCCAAUAGUAUCCCAUCAUUUUGAUUCGAAAAUGAAGUUUUGGCCCUAAUUGGUGAGCCCCACAAAUCCUAGAAUGAGUUUCUUCAAUUGCUUGAUUUGUAUCUUCUCCUCCUAAGCAUCGAAGAAGUACUCCAUCGAAUGAGCGUCGAUAAAAUGUUUCUUUGUAGUAAAUGAAGUGUGGAGCUUGACAUCAUAUUUCUGUUCGAUGCCUUAGUUCAUCAGGUAACUUCCCAUGCUCUAAGUAGUCAAUUAAUGGUUGUUGCCAAUCUUCGCUAUCAAUAGUGAAUAUUGAUGUAACAUUUACUUCUUCUUUUGUAAUAUUGACAAUGGUUGCAGUACCCACUUAUGGCAAAGAGGGACAUGUACAGUCUUGUCCUUAAGCAGUGUUAAACUUGGAACUAGAUUAGCUAGAGCAUCUGUCAUUUGGUUUUCUUUUCAUGGAAUAUGAACUAAAGAGAUUUGCUCGAACUUUUCCAUCAGUUGGGUAGCAUAUUGGAAGUAAGGAACUAAGUCAUCACUUUUAGCCUCAUACAAGGCUAAAAGUUGAUUGAUUACCAACUUAGAAUCCCCACAUAUUGUGGUAUUCAGCAACGUUGUUAGAGCAUUUCUCACUAAGAACAAAUGAAUAUGGUAAUAUCUGUCUUUGUGGUGAGACAAAUACAACACCUGCACUUGUUCCAUCAUAACGUGCCGACCCAUCAAAGAACAUAAUCCACGAAGAAAAUACGUCAACAUAAAAGAUCUCCUCAUCAGGGAAGUCAUUUAAAAUUUCCCAUUCUAUAGGGAUAAGAUGAUCUGCCAAGAAGUCUGCAAGUGCUUGCCCUUUGAUUGCCUUUUGAGGGAUGUAGAUUAUUUCUUACUUAGUGAGUAACAACCCCUAUCUUGCUAAUUGUCCUAAAAGAACGGGCUUUGAUAGCACAUACUUAACGGGAUCAAUGUGUGCUAUUAAGUGUACUGUGUAUGCCUGCAUGUAAUGUCUUAGCUUUUUUGUCGAGAAGAUUAAAGAAAGACAAGUUUUCUCUAUUGAGGAGUAAUUUAGUUUUGGUCUUGUUAGAGUUCAACUUAAGUAAUACAAUGCCCUUUCUUUGUUUUCAUUUUCUUAUGCAAGUAAUGCUCCAAGAGAGCAUUCUUGUGCGAUGAUAUAAAGUAACAAUGGCUUCCCUUCCAUAGAAGCACCUAAGAUUGGUGGAUUAGCCAAAUACUUUUUUAUGCUCUCGAAGGCAUUAUGACAAGCUUCGUCCCAAACAAAUAGGACAUCUUUCUUCAUAAGUCGGUUGAAGGGUUGACAUUGUCCUGAAAGGUUUGAAAUAAAUCAUCGAAUGAAAGCAAGACAUCCUUGAAGACUUCUAAGUUCUUGAAGAUUCCUAAGCUUUGGCAUAUCUCAAAUGGUUGUGAUCUUAGAUUGAUCCACUUCAAUGCCACGGUGUCGAACAAUAAACUUUAAAAACUUACCAGAAGAAACACCAAAAGCAUAUUUGAGCAGGUUCAUUUUGAGUUGGUACCUUCUUAACCUGUCAAACACCUUACGAAGAUCUCGCAGGUGGUAUUCUAUCUUCCUAGACUUUAUAACCAGGUCAUCAACAUAGCACUCGACAUUCUUAUGGAGCAUAUCAUCAAAGAUUUUCUGCGUAGCAUGUUGAUAUAUAGCACCUGCAUUCUUUAGUCCAAAAGGCAUCACUUUGUAAUAGUAAAUACCCUUUAGUGUUCGAAAUGUAGUAAGCUCUUCAUCCCUUGGCGUCAUUCAUAUUUGAUUAUACCCCGAUGAUCCAUCUAUGAAGGAUAAAGCUUCAUGACUAGUAGUUGCAUCAACCAUGAGCUCGAUGAUUGGUAAUGAGAAGUCAUCUUUUGGGCAAGCAUUGUUUAAAUCUCUGAAAUCCACACAAACACGGAUCCACCCAUUUUUUUUCUUAACUAGAAUGAUGUUCGCAAUCCAUGUCAUGUACUUUACCUCCCUAAUGAAACCGACUUCAAUCAAUUUGCCAAUUUUUGUUUCUAUUUGCAAAACAAGUUCCAACUGAAAUUGUUUUUGGGCGUACUUAAUCGGUCGAACACUAGAUGUACUACAACUUUUGGAUCAAGAAUUGACAUUUCUUUGUACGACCAUGCAAAGACAUCUUUAUAAUUGAGUAACAACUCAAAAUAACUUUUCUCUUCAAAAGGAAUUCAAAGCAUACUUACAUAGAUUGGCCUUGAGUUUUCAUUUGUUCCUAAAUUGAGCUCUUUUAACUCAUCGAUAGUGGGUUUCCCCCCAUCCUCAAAUACUUGAGGAGCUUUCCCUGGUUCAUCUUCUGAAAAUUCUGAAUUAGAGUCAACUUCUACUGUAACAUGGUAGCUAGUGUGCAUCGAACUUUUUUUAACAUCUUUAGGGCAUCUCUUGUUUGACUGCUUGGUGAUCAUGAUGGUACGUCAUUUUACUUUUAACGAACCAUUAAAACAUAUUUCCCAAGUUGAAUGGUGCUUCAUCCUUGAUGGGAUAAUACUCUUUGUCUUUGCAUCCUCUUUUAGUUCAAUACACUGCUUCAUAUUGGGAUUUCCUCGCCAUGACUUUUGGGAUAAAGUCCCAAUUCUUUGUUGUAUUGACCUUUGUGGAAUAUGUGCUAAAUUACGUUCUACUUGGUUUAAAUUGCCCAACCUAGUGAACACUAAAGCUUGUACAAUUGGAGCUUCAAUCUGAUCAAAUACUGAAAUUUGAGGAGGAGAAUUUGACCGACUACUCUCGUCCAUGUAUUCUACAAUGAUAUGUUGUGUACUUGCCUUAGUCUUCUUAGUCUUUGUUGAAAUUUUGAUAGGCUCGAAAGGUAUAAACCCUAAACCCUCCAUAGAAUGUUUGACUGCAUACCCUUGUUGUUUCAACUUCCUUUGAGUUUCGUUAAGGCCAUGCAUCUUUGCACCUGUAGUCUCGGGGCUAAGUUCUCCUAAUUGUGAUGAUGAAAUGAAGUCAUACCCUGCCUUGGCUAGUAACUUGUAAGCCUUAGGGUUGAACCCCUCAUCUAUUUUUUUACUAGGAAAUAAUUCUUUCUUUGUUUGAUCUCUUAAGGAUUUGAUGGAUUUUUGUGUUUCAUCCCUAAAGAUAAGUUGUAAGUUUGGAAGGAGAAUGGUCACAUCUUCUUUCAAGACUUGAAGGUCCCCAUUUUCCAAUCUUCGAGGUUGUACUUCUCUUUUGUCUUCUAUGAAAGGUGGUUGACCCUCACUUCGUCGAGAUCUUGGGAUGCACUUAAAAACUGGGGAAGUAGUGACAAUCAUCAAGUCCAUUGUUGCUGUUUGUGAGGAUUUCCCUUUUUCUUCAAUUCGAUUCAUCAUUGGUUGUGAAAUUUUCUCUGCUAAUGUCGACUUACACUGCUCAACUUUUCCCUUAAGUUUAGCCUUCUUAGUGGAGGGAAUGAUUGUAGGAAGGACUUCCUCCAUAACAUCAUUUUCUAUGUAAAAUUUAGCGUCAGCAAAAUAAGACUCGACUUUUGUAAAUGGCUUAGUAUCAACUUCUACUUUCUUUACUCCUCCUCUAUAGAAUUUGAAACACUAGUGUAGUGUUGAAGGAAUUACCCCAUUCUCAUGAAGCCAUGGUCGCUUGAGUAAUAUGUUGUAAGAUGUUUUUGCAUCGCUUACAUGAAACAAUGUGUUUGAACUCAACUUACUCGUAACAAGCUCUAGGCGAAUCAUACCAAUAGCUUGUUGUCCCCCUUGAUUAAAGCCUUAGAUCAUUAGGCGACUCCGAUUUAGUUAUUUCGUAGCAAUCCCGAGUUGUUUCAUUGUUGCUUUGGGGAUGGUAUUUACUCCCGACUCUCUAUCAAUUUAAGAUGAGAGUGAUAUUUUGUUCCCGUAUGUACCUGGUAACAAACAGAGGUCGAUUAUGUUGUUUUAACCCUAAUUGAAGGUCUUCAUUGGUAAAGGUGAUGGUUGCACAACAUUUGGCACAAUUGUGGCUUUCAUCCUCAAGCCUUUUUGCCCCUUCUAUUUUGGUGGCAUAGAGUGUUGGAUUAUAAAGUACUUGAAUCAAUGCAUUUUGCAUCUCAUUAGGAAGUUGUAGCAUUUCAUGGCUACUAAACAGUUAGGGUAGGUGUUGUAAGCUUGCUACUACCUCUUCUUUUUCCUUAGUUUUUCUUGACUUAACACCAAGAAUGUUUUCCUCAUAUUCACUUAACCCUUCUUCUUUUAAAGUCUCAUUGCAAGAGACAAUAUGAGUUUAUAUUGUCACCCUUUUAUCAAAGAACCCCAAAGGGAAGUAUUCCUCUAGGGUGAUAGGGGUGAUAAAUUUUUGGAUCAAAAGGUUAUCUAUAUGUAUAAUCACUUAUUUUCUUUCAGGAUUCUUUUUUUUUUCUUUAGAUGUUGACGAGUAUUCCACUCAUGUUGUCCCCUUCUAGGAAGGUUAGGGUAUGAAUGCGACACUUGCUUCUUGUGAGGUCUUCUUCGUGUCACCAAUGUCCAACCUUCUUCAUCAUAUGACAUUGAUUUAUUAUCAAAGCAAAGGCGAAGAAGGCUAUCCUAACAUGACAUUUGUGUUUGCUUUGGUUUCAGUGACUUGCAUUGUAUAGUAUUAGCACAUGCCCCCAAUUUCUUAAGUGGAAACAUGUAAUGGAACAAGAUCAUAUGACCCAAAUGUGACUGUAACAUGAUUUGACUCUACUACUUCAUCCAGAUCUAAAUGAAUUCUUCCUUGCUUUGCAAGUUUCAUUAUGAGAUCUUUUAAAAUGAAACAUUUCUCCACAGGAUGACUAACAAUUCGAUGGUAAUGACAGUAGUUUGGAUCAUUAACAUGACCCAUUUCUUUUAGACGCUUGCACUCAAGUAACUUAAUAACCUUUUUCUAAAGCAAGUCUUCCAACAUGUUAGGCACAUUAGAGUCAGGAAAAGGAUAAUUCUUCUCCUCUAAUCCCUUUAAGGUGAACUAACGCUUAUCAUUUUCCUGGGUUGGCCUGGCCUCUUUGACUUCCUUCUUUUUAUCUCUUGUUGAGAUUUUGACAGGAGUCGUAUUUAUUGUCAUUGACUAUUAGAUGGGUUUCUUUGAGGUCUUGUCACUCCUUUUCCCAUCAUGUCUCUAUCUUUGUCGAUCAACAAUAAAGUCCUUCUUAGAACCAUGGUUGGCUAUGCUGAGCUCCAUGUCAUGUGAUCGGGUAGCUAAUUCUUCAAAUGUACUGGGUCGUAUCCCUUAGAGAAUGUAUAGGAGAUCCCAAUGCAUUCCUUGUAUGCAUAUCUCCACAGCUAAUACCUUAGAUAAUCUAUCUUUACAGUCAAGGCUUAAGGAACGUCAAUGAUUACUACUCAAAAAGUGCUAUUUGAUAGCUUGUAAUUAACUCUUUUAAACACUUUUGAGUAGUAGUUAUUACCUUUUAACUCAAUUGGCAUGUUAAGGACCCUUACAAUCAAUUCUAAUCAAAUUGUGUUAAGUUUUGGUGUUUUGAUAGCUUUUUGAUCACCAAAGCAAUCCAAGAUUGAGGAGAGUUCGUUGGAAUCCAUGGCAAAGCAAUGGAAAGCUCAGAAACAUGAAGAACCAAAGCUUUGAAGUCCUUUGCCAUAAGCAAAUCCGGAAUGCAAGGAGGGGAAGCAAAGAGAAAUCUGCCAUGAAGCAUUCUUGAUGACAGUCAUGUUAGCCACUUUUGGAGCACUUCCUGGAGUCCAAUUUAUGCAUUCUAUAUGUCGUUUCGAAGCUCAGGAAGUCAAAAAUCCAAUGCUUUAAAUGGUAUGCGAUUCGGAGUUGAAAUGAAGGAGUUAUAGCCAUUGGAAGCAGAUCACUCCAAGCUGAAGGAAGAAUUUUGCAUGGCUGCGAAAUCACCCUUUUGCUACAAAAUGAUUUCGCAGCCAUUUUGCACAGUGCAACGAAAUUUCUCCUGAAGUUUCCCGAUAUUUGCGACCCACACUUUUGGAUAUUUUGCUUCAGAUUUUUGAUGUCUAAAUCCCCAUUUUCUCCUUGUAACCCACCAAUUAUAGGAUUCCUUAGUUAUUAAGUUUGGAAAAGGGGUGAAUAACCUCAGAUAUUUUAUUUUUUAAUUUUCUUUAUAUAUAGCUCUCGGGAUCUUGUUCUCAGAGAAUCAACUUUUUGUAUAGUUUGAAAGGAAGUAAAAUACAGAGCUUUGCUCUGCCUUACCUUCUCACUUUGAUUGUAUUUUUCAUUCACUAACCAACCAAGCUCUGAGGAUGUUUCUUUAGAGGAUGGGUGGCUAGGCUUUUUGUUUCUUGGAGCUAAGGUAGCCGGGGGAAGGGCCAAAUGCAAGAAUUGGUAGUUUUGUUGUUUUAGCUGUUAAUGAAGAAAAAGUGUAACCCGUUUAUGAUUUCUAUGUUUUUAGUUAACUUAAAACGCCUUCAAUUCACCUAAGUCAACACUUGGUAAGGCAAGUGAUCUCCGUCCAUGGAGAUGCACUAGUUUACCUCUUGCGAGCUUUUGGGAGGUGACCCGAAGGUAGGAUUUUCUAGAAUUGCCAACACUUGGUAAGCUUUUGGACUCUAAGAAGGCAUCCAUUAGUUAUCUCUUGCGAGCUUGAGAAGGGAAGUCCAAAGUUAAUGAUCACCUUGAAUGGCAAAUGCUAGGUGAGAGGCACGAGCCAUUGCAAGUUGCAUCAGUGAGAGGGAAUUAGAGCUGAAAUCCAUUUAAGGGAUGCAUCUAUACAACACCGAUUAGAGAAUUAACUAUAUGUUCAUUCUCUAAUGCGAGGAAAUGAACCAAGUGACCGAAGCUCUGUUUUUGCAUGAGGAACCUCCCCUGUGAACCUAAACCUCCAAGGAAUUUUUUUCUUUAUAAAGUAAUUUCCAUUACUUUCUUUUUAGUUAGCUUGAAACCAAACAUUUUUCAACCAAAGUUUAUGUUUUCUUUUGAAACUAACCUUGAAAUGAAAAGGCACCAAUUCAACGUUGAAUUAAUAUCAUUUGUGAAGUGAAAACCCAUCCCAGUGAACGAUCCUAAAGCCACUAUGCUAUAGUAGCUUUGUCUUUGCUACCCUAGUACAUGGUGUAAUAGGUUAUAAAUUUUGUUGAUUACUCCCUCAAUCAAGGAGCACUAGCUAGACAUGAAUCAGCUGAGACACCAAUUGGGCACGAAUCAGUCAACAGUUGAUAUAGUCUACAACCGGCUCGUCUUUCCAUUGCUUAGUGUUAGUAAGUUCCAUCAUGCUUAUAGUUCAUUGAGUGCUAUAGAAGCAGUUGAGGAAUUCACAUUCCAUUUGGUCUUAACUAUAGAUACACUUAGGUGCAAGGUCUAUGUACCAAUCGAAAGCAUUCCCUCGGAGAGAAUGAACGAAUUGUUUAACUAAUAAGUCACCGUCUCUACCUACAUUGUUACAAGUUUCAAUGAAAUGGGCAUCAUGUUGUUUUGGAUUUCCCUUCCCAUCAAAUGACUGAAAUUUUGGAGGUUGAUAACCCAUAGGCAUAUGUAGGUUAUCAAUCCUCUUAGUGUAAGGUUUAGAAUACAUGAGUGUACUUUGUGAGGGUCCACCAUACUGUACUCUAAUGGUGUUAGUUAUCAUAUCCUGAAGUUGUUGGAUAAAUAAUGACACCACUGAGGCAGAUUCCGUCGUUUGUCUCUCAACUUACAUUGUCCUAUACACAUGCGGUGCAUCAUCAAGAGGAGAUGCAAUAUUUGGAGGUGGUUAAGUCCUUGACUUGACUCACCCGUAUUUUUUACUUGUGCCUCAACCUUGUUUAUGAGAGAAGCUAUCUGAAUAUCCUUCUCCUCGACCGUCUUGGUGAGUUUGGCGAUGGUGUGAGCCAUCUCUGCUAAUUGUUCCUCUAUGGAUGUAGUGUUGGUUGCCAUUAUCGGUAUAGUCAUCGAGAAGGGAGAAGUAAAAGAGUUGGAAUGAUUGGAGUAUUUAUGCUCUUUUGACAUUCCAGUUAGUGAUCCGGAAAGUAAGCCGGUGCUAGAGUUGGCAUCUGUAAUAGAGCAAGGAGAUUUAUUCCCAAAGUCCUGUAGUGUUUAAGGGAGUUUUCCCCUACUACGAGGACUAUGGCUCUUUGCCCUCAGAGAGACCAAGGUGAUGAGUGGUUGGUGCUCAUCACACGUUCUUACCGAUUUUAGCAAAUAAGCAAACUCUCUUGUUUGUUUUGUUGAGAGUGAAGAUGUUAAUUUUGCUUUGCUACGAGUCAUGGGGCCCAUAGCGGUGUCGUGUGUCGAUUGUGCAAUGACAAUCUUGUCAUUACCCUUGUUGACAUGCACAACUUGAGUUAUUUUGGGUGCCAUCGAUGAAGUAGAGAUCAAUCUUCUAACAAAAGAGAUGAGUGACAGGGAGGUCCCACUAGCGUGCCAGAAAUUUGUACACACAAAAUUCGUAAAAUGGUCCUGCAAAAUUAGCAAAACAAAUAAGAAAAUAAUGCGAACACAAUAUUUAUUAAAAUAAAAAUAUUGUGGUUAUAAUAUCAAAAAAUAAUAUUAUUUCCAAAAGAAUAUUUUUCCCCUGAUUCUUUUACCUUGAUCACACUUUGGAAGACGACGAUGACGUUUUCUAGAUUUCGAAAAUCAAUCAAGGGCGACAAUUGGCUUAUUCUCAAAUGAACUCGUUGAAUGGCAAAGAACACGUAUAGUUUUUAUUUUACUGUUUAUCAAACUUGCAAGGAGAUUUGAUGAAGCUUUUUCUUUUGUUGUGAAGCCUCUUUUCCAAUACGAAGUUGCCUUUAUAUUUUCUUCCCAAGUUUUUCCUUUUUUUUUUUUUUUUUUUUUGAAUUUUUCUGAUUUCUGAAUUUCCUUCCUCCCUUCUUGAUAGAAGACACCUCUAUUUAUAGGUGAAGAUAGGGAAUUUGAAAUUCAAAUUCCCAAAUUUUAGUUGCUUAAUUCAAAGGAUUUAGUUCCUUGAUUUUAGCAAUUUUUCUUCUCCCGAAGGUUUUACUAACAAAAUAAUAAUGAUAAUAAUAAUUUUCUUAUUAUUAUUAUUAUUCUUUUUAUAGUUGGAGAUUAGGGAAACUUAUCCAUAAAAUGAUUUUUUUUUAAUUCAUUUUGAAGACCAAAUUAGUGGUAAUUUAAUCCACUAUUUUUUUUUUUAUGGCUACAGUACAAUGGUUAUGUAAAAUCAAUAUGCAGUAAGUAAAAAAAGGAAAUAUUUGCAAAAAAAUAUAAACAUUUGUGGAUAUAUUUUUAUUCAUUAAAUAAAGAUAAUAAUGAAAUAUUAGUAGAAAAUAUAACAUUGGAUUAGGAAAUUUAUCAAAGAUUUGCAUUUGACCAAAUUUAUAUUUAAUUUUCUCCAAAUUUAUAUCUCACUUUUCAUUCCUAUAAACAUAGAUUAAAUCAUUGGCAAUUAUACCAACGUAUGCCCUCUAGAAUCUAAACAAAGACGAGUCAAAUUUAACAUUAUUAAAGCCAUAGGAAUGCUUUUUCCAAUCCAUUUUCCAUGUCCAAUUGCCAUAAAACUAGUUCAAUUCCGUCAUUUCAGAUUAUACAAUUCCAUAUCCAAGACUCGUUAAAAAAACUGCUGAAAGUUUUUUUCUUGUCUCAUCAACAUGAUUUCAUACCAUAAAUCUCAUAUUCUAUUAUAUAUCCUUUCCAUUAUUUUCAAAAUUUUGUAUCUAUGAUGAAAUUGCAAUAUGUUUUCAUUUUUUAAGACAUAAAGUAGAAUUUGACCAAAAAAAAAAAAAUCUUCAUUUUUUUAUGUCAGAGGAAAUUGAAAAAAGUGUUGCACCAAUACAAUUAUUUACAAAUCGAAUGAGCCCGAAAAUUUUUUUAAAAAAAAAUUUGAAUCUCAAAAGAAUGACAAGGUUUAGAGGUCGGUGAUAUGUUUGGUGCAACAUAACAUGAACGAUCAAGAAUAAUGGGUAAAACUUUACAAACUUAUAUUUAUGACAAUGUGUAUUAGUUGAUAAGUUGGUAGGUUUGGUAUAUGUGUAUUUAAAUUCAAAUUAUUAUCAAAAUGAGAUUGUAACAACUUCAAGUAUAUAAUAUAAAUAUUGUAUAACCUCUCAUUGAUGAUCAAGAGGGGCUUUUCAUCAUUUCAGAAUUCUUUUUGUUUUAAAGAGUAAACCUAUUUACUAAUAGGGUGGAAUCAUCCCAACUUUGGUUUGAAAAUAAUAUGUCGGGAGAUACAUUGGUGCUACCAAUGUUUCAAUAGAAAAACAUCCUAAAAUAAAGGAUAAGUAAUAUUAAUCAAAAUUACACACUCAUUUAACAAAAAAGAAAUAAAUUAUAAGGCUUGAAAAAGAAUUUCAAAGUGAUAGAGUUGAACAUAAUAAGUGGAAAAGAUCAUAACAUGGGAGAGCAGGUUUUUUCUUUUAGAAGGUUAUGGAGAUACUAUCCAUCACAUUUUGGACCUUUUUAUACAAAUUUUCCAUAAUUGAGGUAAUUUCGUUGAAUGGAAAUAAUAAUUUAAGGAUUUUUUUUCUAUAGUUAUUAAUAAAACUUAAUAUCUUUGGCAUCAAAUGUGGGGAUUAGGUGUCAUUAGCAUGGUAGUCACUAGACCUCUUGUGCUUUGCCCCAAUAAUCACAUCAAAGUAAUCCACAAUCCUUACAUCUUGUCCAUCCAGCUUUUGAACAAAGUUGAAUAGCUUCGGGAACUUGUAAAUAUAUAAAUAUUAUCAAAAGUUGAGAGUCUAGAAAGUUGGGUUGAGAUAAUCCUUCUUACUCCACUCCAUCUCCAUCAAUGUUGAGAAUGGUAAUUGUGGGGACCUUCUUCCACGUGUUAGUUCACAUGUUAAUCCCCUCGAUACUAUUCGGAUAACUUUCGAAGUGCACAGAUCAUUCUGCCUGGAUCACACGAGCACCCUUCAAGCAGCACCGGACUCCCGAAGCGCACGACGACUUCCAACCGACCUUGAAGUCCUCCUUUCUACGUGAAAUGAUUUCCAUCUGAAAUGGGAAUGACUUAUGGGACCUUCUCCCAUCCUCGCGUUUACAUUAGUGGAUUGUUACACACUAUCCCAUACCCUCAGUAGGUUGAAAAGACGAGCAACUACAUCAUGAUGCACCAUCUGACUGCACUCCCAGCCACCCUAAAUUGUAAUGAUUGCCCUACCAUCUAUAGAACAACCAUCAUUGCAGUAAAAUUCAAAGUGCCAGCUCAGCACUACAGUGCCUCUCCCCUUGAGCACUAUAAAAAGCCCUCCUGAAGCAUAACCUAGGUAGGCACUUUUAAGCUGGUUACCUCACUCUCCUCUAAAUAGGGUUUUAACCCAUCUGUGUCUAACUUAAGCUUUGGAGGGGCUUGCCCGAACAUCCUUUGUGCAGGGAAGAGGUUCACUUAGUUUGUUGUUGCUAGGUCGAGGUUCUGAGUGGCACAACAUAAGGUGGAUUUGACUCUAGUUGACCUCGCAUCAACAUUGGCGCCGUUUGUUGGAAGAAGUUAAGGAUGUCAACACCCUCGAGAAGCCGAUCGUCAACUAUGGGUAGCGAAGGAUACUACGACUAGAAUAAAAACAUGGAAAGACGCCAGCAAGAGAGUGAACGACAAGUGCAGGCCCUGCUUCACAAGACAAGGAGACUUUGAGAAGAGAAUGACAUGUUGCGUAUCCAGGUAUCUUCAUCAGGCCCCUCUCAUAGUCGACAGCCUAAAAGCCAGCAAAUGAACUUUAAACAAAACAAAGAGGUGUCCUUUCCCGUAAAUGAAAAGUUCUCCCCUGAUAGUCAAGAGGUGCGGCCUGAAGAGAAGUUUCCACCAACUAGUCCAACACUGCUAGAUGAAAGCUCUGACUCCACCUGCAUCUCAAUGUAAAGGAGACAUGACAAGAGGUCGCAACUAUCUGACGCAAUGCGCACAUGGUUAGGGCCUCAAACACUUGACAUGAAGGGAAGACAACGUGUAGCAAUGGGCCAGGAGGUUUGCCCUAGUCCCUCAGUUGCAGUGGUCAUGCCAGACUGGCUUCCCUAGCCACCAACACAACCAUAUACAAGGCCUUUGACAGAGCGAGGUCCACCUGGCUCUAUUAGUAGACGGCUGGAUGACAUGCUCUCCACACCCUUUCAGCCCUUACAUCAUCGACUAUGAGCCCCCGAGAGGGUUCAUGGUGCCAAAAUUCAUGACAUACAACGAAACAAGUGAUCUGUUUGAUCACAUCAUGCAUUACAAGCAGAUCAUGACCCUUGAUAUAGGGAAUGACACACUAUUAUGUAAAGUCUUUCCAGCUAACCUGCCGACCAGGCUCUAUCAUGGUUCCACCACCUCCCAAAGAACUUUGUGAGUAAUUUCCAGGAUCUAUCAGAAGCCUUUGUGGGACAUUAGCUAUGUUCAACAUGACACAAGCAGAACAUAAGUACCCUGCAAAACAUAAAGAUGUAUGAAAAUGAAUCCCUAAGAGAGUUUGUGAAAUGGUUCAAACAAGUCGUGCUCUAAGUAGAAUUGUGCAACAUGGAUGCCAUCCUGCCAAUCUUUAAAAGAAGCAUCUGUCCUAGUACACCUUUAUUUGAAUCUCCUGUUAAAAAAACACCUGUAAUGAUGGACGACCUGUUCAAACUAGCAAACAAAUACUCAAUGCUCGAAGAUGACGUUCGUGCGACCACACAACGGUGUUGGUUACCAGUUGACCUACUAGAAAUGACCAUGCCGAAAGCUCUAAGCCCUUAAACCAACUGAGGCCAGCUGGCAAAGGGAGGGACAGACAACAGAAACCAAGCCAAGAUAGCUUAACCCCCCUUAACAUUUCAUAUGAAAAACUCUUCCCCAUGAUCCUUGAGCUGUUUGAUUUUAGAUGGCCAGAGCCAAUUAAGAUGGAUCCAACCAAAUAGGACUAGAACUGAAAGUGUACCUAUCACAAAGAUCAUGGCCACACUACUGAAUAAUGUAGAAGUCUCCACUACUUAGUGGAAAGAUUAGUCAGGGUUGGGCACUUAAAGUAGUACAUCCGCUUAGAUGGAGGACGAAGGGAAACAACUCGGGAUUUAACCAUCCAAGCACCCACGACUGCAACAGCUCUUAGAGCUAUCAUCAACUACAUCCAUGGGGGCCCCGUUGAUGAGAAAUACAAUUCCAAAUGGAAAAGACAAAGAUUACUCUGAGCAGCCUCCGUAAGAGAACAAGUCAGUUCCAUCCAACACGACCUGCCAAGUGAGGAUACACGCCCAGUGGAUGGGAUAAUUACCUUCCCUCCAAUAGACCCCAACCGAGUACUUCAACCACAUGAAGAUGCCCUGAUCCUAACACUAAGGAUAAGCGAUUUUGAUGUAAGAAGAAUUUUAAUCGAUCUGGGCAACUCAGUUGACCUUUUGCAGAUGUCGACAUAUAGGAAAAUGGGGCUACCACCAUCUACCCUGGAGAAUCUCGGGCGGAUAUUGUCCGGAUUCAACGGAGCAUCGAUAACUUUCCUAGGGGACAUUGUGUUACUUGUCCAGACUGGCCCAAUCACCCAAAAUGUGCAGUUCUCAUUAGUGAAGGAUUUGUCCCCUUUCAACGCCAUCAUGGGAUGCACAUGGCUCCAUAGCAUGAAGGUCAUCCCCUUCAUGUAUUAUUAGAUGUUAAGCUAUCUCACCAAGAAUGGAUAGAUCAAUCUUUUUGGCAGUUAGCUGGCCAUGCGCCAGUGCUAUCAAGUGGCACUCGGGUCCGGAUCCCCAAACAGCAGCAAGCAAUGCACGGAACCAAUGAAUGCAGAGAAGCAAUAGAAAUUACAUAAUCUGGUGGACAAAGAUCUAUCAGUAGUUGAUCCACUCCAACCCUUAUGUCUCUCAAGUAGUAGUGAUCAUGUCACCUACACCAGUUCCCUCUUAUCACCGGAAGAGUUAAAAAUACUAGAAGGAGUGCUUUAGUAGAACAAGGAUGUCUUCGCAUGGACUCACUCUAAUAUGCCCGAAAUCCAUCCAUCUGUAGCCUCACAUUGGCUUAAUGUUAUACCUUCUUCAUGACCCAUCCGCCAAAAGGUCCGAUGCAUCCACCCGGAUAGGCAAAAGAUCAUCCAGUCCGAGGUAGACAAGUUGCUAGUAGCCAGAUUUAUCAGGAAAGUGGAGUAUCAGGAUUGGUUGGCGAAUAUUGUGGUUGUUCCAAAAAAUGGAGGAAAGUGGCGAGUCUGUGUUGAUUACACCAACUAGAACAACGUUUUCCCAAAGCAUAACUUCACAUUGCCUCGAAUAGAUCAGAUAGUUGACUCCACUGUCGGACAUGGGAUGCUCUCUUUCAUAGACGCAUUCUCCGGAUACCAUCAAAUCCCUAUGUUUUAGCCGGAUGAGGAGAAUACCGCUUUCGUAACACUGCACGGGUUAUACUGCUACAAAGUCAUAUCGUUUGGGCUUAAGAAUGCUGGAGCCACCUACCAAAGGUUAAUGACAAAAAAUUUUAAACCUCUAAUAAGCCAGAUCGUGGAAGUCUACAUUGACGAUAUUGUGGUAAAAAGCAAAACUAAGAGCGAACAUGCCCUACACUUAGAAGAAACAUUUCGGCUAAUGAGAUCGUAUAGCAUGAAGCUCUACCUAUCCAAAUGUGCCUUUUGUAUCAGCAUGGGCAAAUUUAUGGGGUUUAUGGUAACACAAAUAGGAAUAGAAGUCAAUCCAGAUCAAAUAAGAGUUGUCAUGGAGAUGUCUGCCCUAAGUAAUAAGGAGUUACAACGCCUCAUGGGCCGCUUAGUUGCUCUAGGGCGUUUCAUAGCCCGAUUUAUAGAUAAGUUGUGGCCCUUCUUCCUUGCACUAAAGGGGGAAAACACAACCAGAUGGACAAAUGAUUGCAAACAAGCUCUAGAAAAAAUCAAACGCUACCUCACCCAGCCACCCAUCCUGAGCUGCCUUGAACCCGGUGAACAACUCUACAUGUAUUUAGCAACGUCUGACUGUGUAGUCAGUGUUGUUCUAAUUCGCCACAUGAAGGAUAAAGAACAAAGGUCUAUCUAUUACGUAAGCAAGGCAAUGGUUGGCGUUGAAACCCGAUACUUUAAGAUGGAGCAAACAACCUUGGCCUUGAAAAGCGCCACUCAAAAGCUUCGCUCAUACUUCCAAGCCCAUCAAGUGACCAUGCUCACAAACCAACCACUCAGAAGCAUUUUGCAUAGACUAGACCUAUCCAAAAGAAUGUUAAAGUGAGCCAUAGAAUUAAGUGAGUACGAAAUCAAAUAUUAACCUAGACUGGCACUGAAGAGACAUGUCAUGGCUGACUUUAUAACUGAGGUCCCCUAAAGACCAUUCCACCACAUAGAUUCCCCCGAAGAAAAAUGGUGGAUACUUCAUGUGAAUGGAGCAUCCAAGGCCUCAGGCUCUGAGAUAGGCCUUGUUUUGCAAUCAUUAACUAGGGAGCAGCUAGAACAGGCUAUCCAACUUGGUUUUCCUGCCUCCAACAAUGAAGUUGAAUAUGAAGCAACCUUGGUCGGGUUGGAUCUCGCCCUUACUUUAGCAGCAACUAAAUUGAGGAUAUAUAACGAUUCCCAACUGGUCAUUGGGCAAAUCCAGGGAGAAUACGAAGCCAAGGACAAGUGUAUGGUUCGCUACCUUGUACAGGUACAAGCUAACUUAGCAAAACUAAGCGAGUGGGCCGUUGAGAGAGUGACCUGAACAAAAAAUAAAAAGGCUGACACCUUGGCCAGGAUAGCUACUACUCUCCUUAUAAAGGAGGCAGUGUUACUUCCCAUCUACCUCCAAACCACAUCCUCAAUCACAACGACAUUAGUGUGUAGCACCAGUGAGGAAAACACCAACUAGAUGCGCGAAAUUGAGACAUACCUUAAGACGGGAGAGCUACCUGAAGAAGAAAAGUAGGCCCAUAAGAUCCUGGUACAGGCUACCUGCUUCACUCUAAUCGGGGACAACCUCUAUAGGUGUCGGAGGACCAUACCUCAAGUGUUUGAACAAUUCGAAAGCAUAGUAUGUCCUUGUUGAGCUCCAUGAAGGUGUGUGCAACAAUCAUGUAGGCGGACAUACCUUAGCACAUUGUGCUCACUCACAGAGGUAAUAUUGGCCCACCAUGAGACAAGACACUGAAGAAUAUGUCAAAAGGUGUGAUCGGUGCCAGAGGUGCGCUCCCAUUCCUCGAAUGCCAUUCGAGGUUCUCAAUCUGGUCAUGAGCCCUUGGUCGUUUAUGCUAAGGGGAAUGGACAUAGUUGGCCCAUUACUCGUCGCAGCUGCAUAGAAAGAGUUUCUACUCGUAGCUACCGAUUACUUCAGCAAAUGGGUAGAGGCUGAGGCCUAUGCCAACAUCAAAGACAGAGAUGUCUUCAAGUUUGUCUGGAAAAACAUCGUCUACCGGUUCAGGAUCCCAUAAGCGAUUGUAGUAGACAACGGGCUAUAGUUUGAUAACAUUCUCUUCAGAACCUUUUUUUCGAGUUUAAAGAUCAAAAACCUAUAUUCCAUGUCUCGCUAUACUCAAAGCAAUGGGCAAACAGAAGCCACAAAUAAAACCCUACUCACUACACUGAAGAAAAGGUUGGAGGAGGCCAAAGGAAAGUGGGUGGAUGAGUUGCCUAGGGUCCUAUGGGCUUACCGGAUGACCCCUGGAUGACCUAUUGGAACCACCCCUUUUGCUCUUACCUAUGGAAUUGAGGCAAUCAUCCCAACCAAGAUAGGCAUGCCUAUAGCUAAGACAGUCGUCCAAGGUCAAAGAGAUGAAAAUCAAGAGCUUGAAAGACAUUUGGAUUAGACAAACGAAGAAAAAGGAAAUACAGCAAUCCAAAUGGCAUCCUAUCAACAAAGGGCCAUCACCCACUACAAUAAAAAGGCACGACCACAAACGUUCAAAGCUGGGACCUUAGUCCUCAGAAGAGUCUUUGAAAACACGACUGAAAAAGGAGUUAGGAAACUCCAAGAGAAUUGGAAAGGACCCUAUGUUGUGGCUAAGGCUGGAGACUCAGGGGCAUACCACCUGCAAACACCGAAUGGAGUGCCCCUACUCCGCCCCUGAAAUGUGUCUAACUUGAAGCAAUACUAUCAGUAAAUUUGGGUUGAGGAAGGAAAAGUGUGCACAAAAACAAAGGAAGAAAGAAACAAGUAUUCAUUAAAAGUAAAAUUGUUCCUUACAAAGCUAAAUCUAGUUAGAAUGAUUGAAGAAAAGAAAAAUACAAGCAUAAGUCAUUGCCCAUCAUAGGGGUCAGUUGUAGAAGGAACUCCAUCUCCUUGGUUAGGGUCGUUGGGUGCUACGAACUCGUCAUUAGAAGGAUAACUGGGGGUAUCUUGGGUGAUGUCGUUCUUCUUUAUACAACAUUGGUAGUUGAAGAAGAACAUGUCAUCGACUUGCUUUUGGUAUUCACCCUCCAAUUCCUUCUUCUAAGCAACGAACCCUGCUCAGAGAUCCUCCAGAUCUUUCCUUAACCAUUCAUUCUCUUGUUCGACUUUUCUACACUUGGCCUCUACAGUCUCCCCCUCCUCUUUCAACCGACGUGCCUCAGCUUUGGUUGCCUCCCUUUCCUCUUCCGCCUUCCUCAGCCACUCGGCUCAGUCUGUAGUAGCCUUUUGAGCAGUAGAGAGAUUGCCCUAUGUCCGUGCCAUCUUAGAGUGCAGUUCUUUACUACCACCCAUCUACUGGUUAAUGAACGUUCUCAUAACUUCAACGACCUCCAGUCGUUUAAAAAGUGAGGCAUGUUGCCUCAUUAGAUUGCGGACGUCGACCACUAUCCGUAAGCGACAUUAAAACAAGUGUAAAAAAUCAAAGACUAAGGAAACUCAAACUAUGGAGGAGUAGAACUUACCAUUUCCGUCGUCUCGUGAGCUUAAUAAUCCUACAUUGGUUGGACGCGAGAGACGAUAGAUUUUGAAGUAUUGUAUGGAAGUCGAACAAUGAUAAUGAUGGAGGGAUUGUCAUCCAAGUCCACUAAAACCCACUUGGUGAGAGGAAAAAAAUUCACCAUGUUGGUCGAAAGAGGCUCAGCCUCAGUAAAGCAGGGAACCUGCUUCAGUAAUGUUGCCAUCUCCUCCAGCUUAGGAGCGCGAGGAGGCACUGGGGCACCUUUUUCAUCAAGGUCGUCGUAGGCAAGGGCCGGACCAAUAAAAGCCUCAUCUCGUUCUAGGCAAACAUCUUUCCCUGUAGAGGGCCUUGGAUCUGGCACGCUACUAAGCCCCGCAACAUCAGCAUGGGGCAUAGGCGCUAGGAGAGCAUCUGAAAUAGGCUCCAUACAGGGUUCCUCCACACAGGACCUCUUGGCAAGAGGGAGAGCGACUGCAAUGGAUUCAAAGAGGCACUUACGCUGCCUUUCUUUGAAUCCAUCUCAAAGGUUUGUCGCCAUGUCUUCCUCCUUUUCCUCCGCCUCACAGAUGAUAUAAGGCACUAUGGACUCGACCUUAGUUUCUGAAUUAGCCCCUGCAUAAUGCAAGUCAGCCUCUAAGUCCUGCUCAGUACUAGCCGCAGAUGAAGGGGCAGAAGUAGAAGUAGACGGAGAAGCGGGAGUUGGAUCUAGUGCCUUCUUAGCAUCCUGAGCGGCAUGUUUCUUCUUCUUGAUCGGGGGGCGGAUAGUGGAACUUGUGGCCGUACGAUUUCUACCCAGGGCUUGUCUUAGCAUCACCUUCUGACGCUUCUUCUUCCUUUGAACAAGCCGGUCUUGGUGGGCCUUUGCGUCAACCAUACGUGCAACCUUGUAGAAGGGAAGAUCCUUUAGAAUGUGGUGUUCACCAAGCAUCAGGACCUUUGGAAUUGAUCAAAGGAUGAUGGGAAGGAUGUACGACAGAGGAUCCCGAACAACUGCCAACAUAUUCCGAUUCGUCAAAAGGGUUUGGUAAUUUAUUUCACUUAUAGAAAUUAUGAAUAACUUAUUGAGGUGAUCGAAGGAAGCCUUCUCCACCCACUCCACUAGCCAACCUCUUUUUUCCAUGCCUGUAUCACAUAAAACAAAAAUGUUAGUACCAGAACUACAACUAGUAAACUACAAAGGGCAUGCAAAAGAAGAUGAAGCCAAUUCUACCCAAAAUACUUAAUGUGCGGCGUGGGUAAAAGCCCUAAUCUGGAUGCUCAAGUAAACCAGCCCACGGGCUCUAAACAAGGACGUGCCCCCUAGUCCCGCCCUUGUUGAAGUCUAGAAGCCCAGUCACCAAUUGGAGAGAAGGGAUCUGAGCGGACAGGUUGAAUAUACCCUUUUGGCUCAUCUUGAUUCUGUAAAUGAAGAGGACCUCUAGCAGGGAAAGGUCCGGAUGAAAAAGCAUGUCUAGGAUGCUGUAUCCCAUCAACACCCUGAUAGUAUUCAAAUGAAUGAAAGUUGGAGGAAUUUUGCUAUAAUGGAAGAACUGUUUGAAGAGCGAAGGAAAGGAAAGGCAAAGCCUUGCAUUGAAUUGCUCCUUGCUAAAGAAGAUGACGUUGGGAAACUCCUUCUCAGUAGACGUAGGAGCAUCAUCCACUAAAUCUACGAAGAUGUCGUUCGGAAUAUGGAAACACUCCCAAAACUCCCGUUCAAUAAGGAGUUCAAUAGGUUUUUAUGAACAGGCACUACAAGAAAUUUGACCUUCAGCCACAAAUUUUUUGGCCAUGAAUAUAAUUUCAUCUCUAAAGAUGAUAUUAGGAGACGAAAUUUGAGUUUGUUACGAAAAUUUGUGUCUAAAGUUUUAAUUGAAUGUAAAAUGAGGCCAAAUUAUUUGUGACGACAUCAUAAUUUUUAACAACAAAAUAUUUCAUGGCGCAAAAUAUAUUGGGAGACAAAAAGCUAGUGUCGUCCCAAAAGGUAAAUAAUGGGUAACAAAAUUAUGUUGUUGUAAAAUAAUUUUGGAGAGAAAAAUCCUAAUAAUGGGAGACAAAAAUAUUGUCCUAAUACCACUAGAUGAAUGAACAAAGAGAAUUAUUGGAGAAGAAAUUGUUUUAUUGUAAAAACUCAAUAUUGGAGACAAAACUAUUUCAUCCCCAUUAAAAUGCAUUUUCCAUUUUCAAAAUAAAUUUAUCACUUUUAAAUUUAUUUAUACUAUUGAAUACUUAACAUGAUUUAUUUGUUUUUUGAGAAAGUUUCAUGGUACUUUAAUAUUCAUGAAACAACACAAUUAUUAUUAAAGAAAGUAAAUAUUAUUUAGAAAUAAUGUGAUAAUGUUAUUAUUAAUAUAUAUAUAUUAGAAUCAAGAAUGAAAUUAUCGGUAAUUACAGAUAUAUCGGUACUUCCAUUUCACGGAUAUAUUGGAAAUAUCAGAGAAAUAUUGGUGGAGCAAAAAUUAUUUAAAAUUCAUAGGAAUGCUUGGAAAAACUCCAAAAAAUUAUCAAAUUAAUAAGCAAGAAUACACAUUUUAGAGUUAUUUUGUAAGUGUAAUUGACAUAGAUAUGAUCAAGAAGAAAAACAUUGGUAGAUUGAGAUAUAUCGAUAGAUUCAAUAUUUGAAUUUUAAGAAUAAUAAAUAUGAAUUUUGGAAGUGUAUAAAGUUAGAAUUGAAUUAAGAAAUAUUUGAUUUAUUGAAUAAAAACAAUUUAUACAUAAAUAUAAUACAUAUGACAUUGUAAUAAUCUUUGAUAUGAAAAAUGAAAAUUAAUGUGGUUUUAUUAUAUUUUUAGAUGAAAGGAACCCAUUUUGUUGAAGACAAUAUUUAUUUUAAAAUUUUUAAAAUACUUUUAUUAAAAUAUGUUUUAUUACAUUUUAAAUGAAAAAUUAAAUUAAUUUAUAUAAAGUAUUUUAUUUGAGAUUUAAUUUCUAAAAUUUAAAAAAAAAUAUAUAGUAACAACUUUUUCCAUUAACAUUAAUUAAUUUAAAUAAUUAAAAUAUUUAAUAAUUUAUCUUAUUGAAUUAAUUUUAAUUUAUAAAAUAUUUUCUAAAAAAACCGAAAUUUGAAUGGUAGUUAUUUAAUCAAAAUAAAGAUGAUAAUUAAUAAUUAUUUAUAUUUGUUCUCAUGAUUUGUCCUUUUUUUCUUUUUUUUUUUCUUUCUACUAAAUUUAAAAAUAAAAAAGGCCACCCAACCACUUUUUUCACUCGGGCAUCAAGAACCCCUUUUUAGAAGUUGCCCUCCAGACCAACGAAUCCCUAAAAAGGCCCUAUUUUCCUCUUCCACGCUCAAUCCUCGCAGGUACUAAUCUUAUUCCUUCUAUUUUCUUUUUUUUGCAACCUCCGUUUGAUUCCAAGAAAAUCCAUCCCUCAUUCAAUUUUCGGGAAAAUUCAUUCUCGUUUUUUUUUUUUUUUUUUGCUUCCUGUGUAUUCUGGAUCUGUUCUUUGAUUCCAAGAAAAUCCAUCCCUCAUUCAAUUUUCGGGAAAAUUCAUUCUCGUUUUUUUUUUUUUUUUUUUGCUUCCUAUGUAUUCUGGAUCUGUUCUAGGGAUUGCUUUGAUUUUGUACCAUUGGAUUUAAAUUUCAGGACCUUUGCCUGCAAAUCAUGAUCUGAAAAACACAACCUUAUGUUUUACAUCCACAAUCUCGGAGCCCUUGAGUCCUGGGAGGUCGCUGAUUUGGACGAGAGCAUGAGCAGAUUGAUGCUCUCCUCUUCAUCAUCCAAGAAAGAUUCCUCUUCCUCUUCCUUUCUCGAUGCCUCGGUACCAGCUUCAAAUUUUUCUUCUGCUCCGGCUUUGUCGUCUUUGUUGGUUCUGGUUGGUUCCGGGAUGAUUUCUGAGGACUCUAUCAACCAAAUGGAUCAGUUUCUUCGGGAGGCUCUGCAGAAUCCGCGUGAGCGGCUGUCAAGUGAGUUGCCACGCUCCAGGUAUUGUUUUUCUUGGGUUUAACUAAAAAAAAUUGUGUUGAAGGCCUUUUUUUCUUGGUAAUAUGUCGUUUUUUUUUUUUUUUGGUAGUAUGUUGCUUCUGGUGAUAAUUUAGGUUUUUGGUUUGGUUUUAUUGUGUGUUUGUUGGGUAUAAUAGAGCAAUUUGGUUUGCUAUGUUCUCGUUGGUUAUAAAAAAACUAUCCUAAAAUUUUUUACUUCAAAAUUGGAAAAUAUUUAAAGAAUUGGUAAGUAAUAUUGUAAAAUAUUAAAUUGCCUAUAAAAAAAAUUGUAAAAUAUUAAAUGGAAACAAAAAUAAGAAAAAGAAAUCAGAAUAAAAAGCUUUCCUAAACUCUUCACAAAAAUCCUCCAUCCUGCUUCUCCUUAAAUAACAUCUCCAUUAUUUCAAACCCAUCACCAUAUUCAUUGUCCAUCACCACGGACUGCCAUCAACUACUUCUGUUGCUCACCAUAGGCUGCUGCUGUUGCUGAUCUUGGUGUUCUACAACAUUGAAAAAAAAGAGCAAAUCAGGUAUGUUAUCACUACUUUAUAUUUUUAGGUAUGUUAUUAGUUACAUAAAUAGUCUUUUUAUUAAUUAAAUUUUCAUCUCUUUUAAUAGUUCUAAUAAAAUGUUAUUAAUCUGAUUUUAUUUACUAUAGACAUUCAAUUAAUCACUUAAAUAUCUAUAUUUGUAUUAUUGUUGUUAUUAAGGUUAAUAUUGCUUUAAUAUUAUAUUUUAUAUGCUUUUACAAUUUAAAAAAUAAUUGAAUAAGAUUAAAUAUCUAUAUUUGUAUUAUUGUUGUUAUUAAGGCUAAUAUUGCUUUAAUAUUAUAUUUUAUAUGCUUUUACAAUUUAAAAAAUAAUUGAAUAAGAUUAAAUAUCUAUAUUUGUAUUAUUGUUGUUAUUAAGGUUAAUAUUGCUUUAAUAUUAUAUUUUAUAUGCUUUUACAAUUUAAAAAAUAAUUGAAUAAGAGUAAAUAUCUAUAUUUGUAUUAUUUUUGUUAUUAAGGUUAAUAUUGCUUUAAUAUUAUAUUUUAUAUGCUUUUACAAUUUAAAAAAUAAUUGAAUAAGAUUAAAUAUCUAUAUUUGUAUUAUUGUUGUUAUUAUGAUUAAUAUUGCUUUAAUAUUAUAUUUUAUAUUCUUUUACAAUUUAAAAAUUAAUUGAAUAAGAUUAUAUAUCUAUAUUUGUAUUAUUGUUGUUAUUAAGGUUAAUAUUGCUUUAAUAUUAUAUUUUAUAUGCUUUUACAAUUUAAAAAAUAAUUGAAUAAGAUUAAAUAUCUAUAUUUGUAUUAUUGUUGUUAUUAAGGUUAAUAUUGCUUUAAUAUUAUAUUUUAUAUGCUUUUACAAUUUAAAAAAUAAUUGAAUAAGAUUAAAUAUCUAUAUUUGUAUUAUUGUUGUUAUUAAGGUUAAUAUUGCUUUGAUAUUAUAUUUUAUAUGCUUUUACAAUUUAAAAAAUAAUUGAAUAAGAGUUGCAUCAUACAGGUUUGACUAAUGGAUAAAAGUUGGAUGAAUCUUUGCGAUAGAUUGUCAGAUGAAUAUGCAACUGGUGUUAAAACAUUUCUUCAAGUUGCAAAAAAUCAUGUGGAUCAAAAUGGAAAGACUCGUUGUCCAUGUAAACAUUGUCAGAAUGCAUUUUGGAAAUCCAUAUAUGACAUUGAAACCCACUUAUAUAAAUACGGAAUAGCCACAACAUAUCAAAGAUGGAUUUUCCAUGGAGAAAAAGUUAGUGUUGAUUACAAUGAAAGAAAUGAUAUGAGUGGUCCUAAUAGGUUAAAUCAUCAUGAAACUUUUGAUGUUAAUGAUGAUGUUGACGACGAUGAUGAAAUGAUUGAACUUUUGAGUGAUGUUUGUGGCCCAAUACCAAAUAGAGAUGCUACAUCUGAGACAACUAAUGUAGAGACCAAACAUUUUGAUGAGUUGUUAGGUGAAGCUGGAAAAAAGUUGUUUACAGGGUCUAAAUUUUCAUCUUUGACUUUCAUUGUUAAAUUGAUGCAUCUAAAGGUUCUUAACCAUUGGAGUAAUAAAUCAUUUGAUAUGUUACUUGAAUUGUUAAGUGAGAUAUUUCCUGAAGGUACAAAUCUUCCAUCAUGUACGUAUGAUGCUAAGAAGAUGUUACGGGAUUUGGGUUUAGGGUAUGAAAAAAUUCAUGCUUGCAAGUUUGAUUGUGCAUUGUUUUGGAAAGAAAAUGAAUUUUUAGAUAAAUGUCCUAUAUGUGAUGAGGAUCGAUAUAAGAUUAAUGAUGGUAAGGGCAAGAAAAUCCCACAUAAAAGCUUGCGAUUUUUUCCUCUUAAACCAAGAUUACAAAGACUAUUUAUGUCAAGGCAUACAGCAAGUGAUAUGAGGUGGCAUAAAGAAAAGCGAGUAGAUGAUGGUGUGCUAAGGCAUCCGGCUGAUGCUGAAGCAUGGAAGUCGUUUGAUAGAAUGUACCCCUCUUUUAGUAGUGAAUCAAGAAAUGUGAGGUUAGGUCUUUCAUCAGAUGGUUUUAAUCCAUUUGGUAACAUGAGUCACUCAUAUAGUAUGUGGCCUGUUAUACUAGUGCCAUAUAACUUGCCUCCUUGGAAAUGCAUGAAAGAACCAUUCUUAAUGAUGUCACUUUUGAUUCCAGGUCCACAUUCUCCUGGAAAAGAAAUCGAUGUUUACUUACGCCCAUUAAUUGAUGAACUCAAAGAGUUAUGGCAUGAUGGCAUAGAGACUUAUGAUGUCUCUAUUGGUCAAUAUUUUAAAAUGAAUGCAGCAAUUUUAUGGACAAUAAAUGAUUUUCCUGCGUAUGGCAUGUUAUCCGGUUGGAGUACCAAAGGUUACAUGGCUUGCCCUGUUUGCAAUGUUGACACAUCAUCUCAAUCAUUGAGAAGCAAAAUAUGUUAUAUGGGUCAUCGUCGUUAUAUGCCGACUAAUCAUCCUUGGCGUAAAAGUAGAUUGCAUGAUGGUAAGUUGGAAAUGAAUCCAGCACCCCAAAGUUUUUCUGGUGAUGACAUAUUGAAGCAAUUAGAAAAUGUUGAUCAUGUUAUUUUGGGUAAGAAUCCAAACAAAAAAGAUAAGAAAAGGAAGCGAAUACCUAGUGAAUUAAAUUGGACCAAGAGAAGUAUAUUUUUUGAAUUGGAAUAUUGGUCAAAAUUAAGUAUAAGACAUAUUCUUGAUGUUAUGCAUAUUGAGAAAAAUGUAUGUGACAAUGUGAUGGGGACACUAUUGAAUAUUGAAGGGAAGACAAAGGACACAUAUAAAGCUCGAUUAGAUUUACAAGACAUGAAAAUAAGAAAGGAGUUGCAUUUAGUGUUGCAUGGUAACAAAUACUUGAAGCCUCAUGCAUGCUACACAUUAACAUCAAUGGAAAGAAGAGAAUUUUGUGCUUUUUUGAAAUCAAUCAAGUUUCCUGAUGGAUAUGCCGCAAAUAUUUCAAAGCGUGUGAACAUAGAAGAUGGAAAGAUAUUAGGUCUCAAAAGUCAUGAUUGCCACGUGUUGCUCCAACGACUUCUCCCAAUUGGAAUCCGUAAAUUUCUAAGGAAGGAUAUUAGUACAACACUUACAGAACUCUCAUGUUUUUUCCAAAAGUUAUGUGCAAAAUCAUUGAGGAUACAAGAUUUGGAAAUAUUAGAACAUGAUAUUGUGUUGAUUCUUUGUAAGCUUGAGAGGAUCUUUCCACCUGCUUUUUUUGAUGUUAUGGUACAUUUACUUGUACAUUUACCACAUGAGGCAAAACUUGCUGGACCUGUUGGACUUAGAUGGAUGUAUCCUAUUGAAAGGUAAUAUUUAUAAACUUUAUAUUCAAUUUUAAAAAUUAAUUUCUUUAACAAUUUGAAUAAUGUUUCAAUGACCUUUGUUUUUAUUCAGGAUUUUAUCGACUUAUAAGAGUUAUGUAAGAAAUAAGGCUUACCCAGAAGGUUCAAUAGCAGAGGCUUAUAUUGUGAAUGAAUCAUUAACAUUUUGUUCUCAAUAUCUUCUUGGAAUUGAGACUAAAUUUAAUCGACCAGAUCGAAAUGUUGAUGAUUUGAAUGAUCAGUCAAAUGGGUUUUCUGUUUUUUCUCAAAGAGCUCGCCCAUUUGGAAGUUACCAGCAGCUUGAGUUCUCUCGUGCCGAAAUAGAGAAAACUCACUGGUAUAUCUUGAACAACUGUAAAGAACUACAAUCAUAUUUAUGGUAAGACAUAAAAUUAUUUUUGCAACCAUUUAUAAUUAUUUAUGACUCAAUAGCUAAUUAAUGCAGUGUACUAACAAAAAUGUGUACAACUAGUGAACACAUGGAGCAGUUGGAAAAGGAAACCGAUGAUAAUUUAUUUCAAAGGCAAAAACAGCUAUUCCCAAAAUGGUUUGCGAAUCAUGUAUGUAUAUCUAAAGACAUUUUUUCUCUUAAACAAAUUUAAUUAGAAUGAUAUUCUUAAUUACAUAUCUUCUCAAUUAUGCAGAUGAAAAUAUUACGCCAUCAAGGAUCACCAGAAGCUACUGAUGAGUUGUAUUCAUUAGCCUCUGGACCUGAUCGUAGAGUAUCUUUAUAUCAUAGUUGUGUGGUAAAUGGAAUUCGAUUUCACACUAAAGAUCGAGAUGAUCGACACAUAACUCAAAAUAGUGGUGUUCUUGUAUUGGGUGACCAUUAUGAGGAUAUGAUUGAUUUCUAUGGUGUGUUGCUGAAUGUUGUUGUGUUAGAUUAUAUCUUCAACAACCAAGUUGUUCUAUUCAAGUGUGAAUGGUUUGAUACUGAUCCCAAUAAAAAGAGAUUGCUAGAUGAUGGUGUCCUUAGGUGCAUUAAUGUGGAUAAUAAGUGGUAUGAAGAAGAUCCUUAUGUUCUUGCAAGCCAAGCACAACAAAUCUUUUACGUAAAUGAUCCAAAGUUAGGAUCAAGUUGGAAAGUGGUGCAAAAAGUACUUCAUAGACACAUAUUUGAUGUCCCAGAGCAAACUACAACAAAUGAUAGUGAAAAUGAUAAUGAAGAUCCAACAAUAGAAGAAGCAUAUCAAGAAAAUGAUUCAACUGAUAUUGUUUGGUCAGUAAACCAAGAUUGUAAUGUUCUACAAUAUCAAAGGGCAGAUGGUGAUCCAAGCUAUAUUGAUAUUGAAAAUGUGGUUGAUCAUGGGAGAAGAUUUGAAAAUGAUGAUUUAACUGCUUUCAUAAAUGACCAAGAUGAAGAAGAUGACACACUUGUAGACUAUUGUAGUGAGGAUAAUGAAAAUAGUGAUGAAGAAGAUCAUGAUAGUGAUAGUGAUAGUGAUAGUUAGUUUUAUUAUUUUAAUGUCAAUUUCAGUUAGACUUUUCUUGUUUAUCAUCUUAUUGUUUUUAUGUCAUUACAAUUUGAUAGAGUUGCAUAAAAUAAUUCAAUUAUGAUGUUCAUAUGAGUUUUGAAUUUCAUUUAGUUUAAUAAUAUAGUAUUAUGUUUAUAUUUCAUAUCAAAUUUACAUUUUUUGUGCUAUUUUGAGUUAUUUAUUUAAUGCAUAUACAUGAUGUAUCCCCUAAACUAAUUUUUUUUUUAAAAUCUCAUUUAUUACAUCUUAUGUGGAAUUGAAGAACAUAAAUGAAAAUAUUUUAUGUAACUAUGUAUUUGUCUAACUGAAUUUAGUGCAGGAAGUAUUAUCAUAGAUGGAGCGUGGAAAUCGACGUCGCCUUAAAUAUACUUCUAACACUAAGUCUCGAGCUCCCCCCAAGAAUAUGAAUAAUCAUACUAAAACCACUAUUAGGGUUGUCUCUCCUCCUCCUCCUCCUCCUCCACCACCACCACCACCACCACCUCUUCCUUCUCCUCCAAUUUCUUCAACUCCUACUCCUACUAAUAGUAAUAUGCCAUCAUCAAUGCAGACAAUAGUUAGGAAUAGCACUGGUAAGAAUACAUUUUUUAAGUUUUUGUAUUUAUUUUUAUCAUUAACUAUGCAUUCUAACUUUGUUUUUAAAUUGUAGAUUCAUAUCCACCAUUAAAGAAGGGUCGUGGACCUACAAGAGGUAAGGGCACAGAUACUAUUGUACAAAUGUCAGGGAAAAUCAAGUUAGAUUUCAACACAGAGAGUGGAAGACCAAAAGAUAGUGAUAAAUCUGCAAAGUUUUCUAAUGAGUGUAGCUAUCUCAUUAGAAAAUUUGCUCCACUACAAUUCGAGAAAUGGUCAGCUAUUCCAGCUAUGGAUACACAACCAUUAGUUGAUCGCCUUUUAGUAAGAGUUCUUAUUAGUUAAAAAUGUUUUAAUUAAUUAGUUAAUUUAUAAUUAUACUAACACAUUAUAAUGCUUUUUAUUUUAUUUUUAUUUUAAAUUUCAGUCAAAAUUUGAUCUAGAUAUGUCAAAAACAUACAUUACAAAGUAUGUGCAUGAGAUUAUGGGACAACGUUAUCGAACAUAUAGAUAUGAUCUUCACCAGCAUUUCAAGCAGUUUGAGACAGUGGAGGAGGCACGUUUGCACCCACCAGAUGAUGUCACACAAGAAGAUUGGGAUUACUUGUGCAAUCUUUUUUCUCUUGAAAAAUUUAAGGUAUUGUGCAUAUUUAACAUAAUUACAUAUGAAAUAGUAAACAUAUUUGAUGUUGUGUGGGUAUACUAGAGCAUCUUGAUCAUUGGUAUUUGGUAUAUUUUGAAGUAAAAAAGUAGGAAUUUGUCACUUGAAACAAGUUGAAAAUUGAAAUGUUGUGUUGGAUUGUUGGUUCCUUAUGAAUAAUUAAAAUAUUAUAUUAGAAUGUUUGUUUACCAUGAAUUAUUGAAAUGUUAUAUGUAUUAGAAUGUUGGUUUAUUACCAAAAAUUAAAAUUUUGUAUAUGAGAAUAUAUAUAUAUAUAUAUAGUAUAAAUAAUGGAGAAGAUUUUACUAAAAUCUUGGUAGAAAGACUACAUUUUAUUACAUGUUUCAUUGUUUGUAAGGUUUUUAUUUAACAUAUUUUCUUAAUUCUUAGGUUACUAUAAUUUGUUUCAUUUUCUUUUACUUACUCUUUUAGUAAUAUUAUUGUGUAGAAAAGGGCUACUAUAAAUAGUGAAAAUCGUGAAAAGCUUCCAUUCAAUCAUCGUGGUGGAUCUAAACCAUUUGCAUUUCAUCGUCAGCAUAACUCAAUGGUAUGACAUAUUUUUCUAAAUUAUAUCUUUAAAAUAAUAGUUUUAUUUUAUUCUAUUUAUUUAAAAGACAUGUUCCACCUAGAAAGUUGAAAAAGGAGUUUAUUAUUUAUCUUUAAAAAUAACUAAAUUAUUUUUUUAUGUGCAUGUAAAAGAGUGUUGCCACUGGAGAGUUGCAAGGGGAAGUGGAGUUAUUUCGUGCCACUCACUACAAUGAAAGUAAGGGAUGGAUCAAUGACACAGCUAAAUCUCGAUAUGUAAGAGUCAUGUUACUUGUAGUUGCAAAAAUUAAAAUUUUCUUUUCAUUAUAUGUUAUGUAACAUGUUCACUAAUUGAAAACUAUAUUUCUUAGGAAGAGAUGCGUAAGCUUCAAGAGCAGAGUACCCAAGAUGGAGAUACUCCUAUCUCUGACUUGGAGAUAACUCAAAGAGUACUAGGGAAGCGAUCAGGUUAUAUUCGAGGUUUGGGAUAUGGGUCACGACUUAAGCGUUCGACUACAACUGAAUUUCCUGAUGAAGAAACAGAGAGGUUACGACAACAAAUCACAAAGUUAGAGGAGUUUAAAACAACAGCUACCACUCAAUUAGAGGAGUUAAAGGCAAUGAUCCAGACUUUGAUGCCAUAACAAACCAACACUUCUAACCAACCACCACCUCAUUCUAGCUCAACUUCCCAACCACCACCGUCACCAUCGAGUUGAUAUUAUUAUGUGGUUUGCUAUUAUUUAUUGGUCACUUUUAUUUUAGACAAUAUUCGAAUGGUACUUGGACAAUGUUAUUUGCACGUAUGUUUUGCAUUGAUGAAACAAAUGUUUUAAUGUUUACUUAUUUUCUAUAUAUUAUUCUAUUUUUACAUUAUUAAAUGUUUUAUUUAUAUAAUAUCAUUGUAUAUUUGAAAUCGUUCAAUAUCAUAUAGGUUUAUGUAGGUUUCAAUAGGAUUAUUUAAAAUUUUAAAAAUUAACAAUAAUAUUAUAUUUAGAGAGGAAAUUAUUUCAUCCGAAAAUAAUACAAAGAGGAACUUCGUUUCAUUAUUUCAUCUCCUAUAUGAAUUCGAGAUAAAAUUAUUUUAUUGCCUAAACAUUAUUAGUUUUUUAAGAUGAAAUCAUUUUGUCUCCAAUUGUAAUUGAAACAUUUAGAGACAAAAUUUGUUUGUUACUCAAACUAUCUGUCAACAUUUUGGGACAAAAAUAGUUUCUCCCCAAAUGUAAGUGGAAGUAUAUGGAGAUAAAAUUAUUUCGUUGUAGAAACUAUGGGUUAACAUGAUGGAGAUGAAAAAAUUGUCUCCUAAUAUAUGAAGUAACAUUUAGAGACAAAAUUUGUUUGUUACCCAAACUAAUUGUCAACAAUUUGAGACGAAAAUAUUUCCUCCCCAAAUGUAAGUCGAAAUAUAUGGAGAUAAAAUUAUUUCGUUGUAGAAACCAUGUGUCAACAUAAUGGAGAUGAAAAUAGUUUGUCUCCUAAUGUACAAGGUAACAUGUAGUGACAAAAUUUUUUUGUUGCCAAAUGAAAUAUUUUGUUACCAAAUAGUUUACUCGAUAUUUGAAAAUCUAAUUCCAAACGAAACAUUUUAUCUUAGGCCACAAAAAAAACUCGUUUCCAAAUAGUGUCGGCCACAAAAUUUUGUUUUGUCAUAAAUAUAUUUUCGUAACAAACGUUAAUUAUUCGUCUCCAAAAACAUAGGGUGACACAAAUAUCGAGACAAUGAACGAGACGAAACUUUUCGUUAGGAAAGCCUUUUGGCUACAAAAGGCAUAUUGUUGGAGACAAAACAUUUCAUCCAUGAUCAUGUACUUUGUUGUAGUGAGGUACGACUGGCACCUACUCCUAUCCAACCAUCUUUUUGGCCCUUACCAAUCGCGUGAGACCUGCAUGACACAACGCUGAAUGUUAGAAAACAGUCACCCGACCCUUCCGCCAACAGGCAUUACCCCAAAUAUGCAGCAAGCAGCUAUGACGGAUCUUAAGUCCACACCUAGGCAAGAUACCUAGUCAUGUUUGCUAGGAAAGCCCCAACCGUGGACUUCCCCGCCAUAACACUACAAUGAACACAAACCAUAAGGCCUGGAGAUAUCCCUAAAGGGACCGACAAAUAGGAGACAUGGAAAAAAACCCUAAUUCUAACAAAGACUCCCAAUCCUACCACUAACGGCGACUGCCCUCCCCAAAAAAUACCAAAACCCCACACUAUGGACUCCACAACAUCCAUUUCAUACCCAGAAAGCCCUAAAAUGUAGAAACAAUCCCAAAAUAACAAGCGGACCAACCAAGUAAACAAAAACGAAAAAAAAAGCUAAUACAAAGGAAAAAUGGGCUUAUUAGAACCUAGAAAGGAGUCCGCUAGCAAAGGAUGAGGCUCGCCUGAAGUAGGACAGGAAAGAACAAUGGAUUUGAAAAAAAAAAUGAAUUGCGACCGGAGUUUCAAGCAAGAGAGUACAAAAGGAUAGAAGAAGAAAAAGGGCUCCAAAAGCGAAAAAUGUUCAAAAGGUGACCCAAGGGGUCUAGAAUCCCUUAUUUAUAGGGGACCAAAACCCUAGGGAUCUUAAAAGACACAUUACUUGAAAGCACAUCUCGAGGUGAUGUGCCUCCUGACAAUGACCUCGGCAAAAACAACCCUCAUUAAAACCUCCAAGCAAGAUGUGUCCCACAAACAUUGGGGGAAUUUGAAGAGACAUUUUAACUUGCCACCUCUGUCUGGACAUAGGUGCACGUGUUAAAGGGGCAUUGUGAGGACCUUCCUCCACGUGUUAGUCCACGUGUCAGUCCCCUCGAUACUAUCUAGAUAACACGAGCACCUUUCAAGCAGCAUCGGACUCCCUAAGCGCACAAUGACUUCCAAUCGACCUUCAAGUCCUCCUUGCUACGUGAAAUGAUUUCCAUCUGAAAUGGGAAUGAUUGAUGAGAACUUCUCCCAUCCUCACGUCUACAUUAGUGGAUUGUCACACACUAUCCCAUACCCUCAGUAGGUUGAAAUGAUGGGCAGCUACAUCAUGACGCACCAUCUGACUACACUGCCAGCUGCUCUAAAUUGCAAUGAUUGCCCUGCCACUUACAUAACAACCAUCAUUGUAGUAAAAUUCAAAGUGCCAGCUCAGCACUACAGUGCCUCCCCCCUUGAGCAUUAUAAAAAGCCCUCCUGAAGCAUAACCUAGGUGGGCACUUUUAAGCUAGUUACCUCACUUUCCUCUAAAGAGGGUUUCAAUCCACCUGUGUCUAACUUAAGCUUUGGAGGGGCUUGCCCAGAGACCCUGUCCGAAUAUCCUUUGUGCAGGGAAGAGGUUCACUCAGUCUACUGUUGUUGGGUAGAGGUUCUAAGUGGCACAACAUAAGGAGGAUCUGACUCUAGUUGACCUUGCAUCAUCAGUAAUCAUAUAACGUAGGAUUGUGUUUAGACUUGGGAAUGGUAGGUAAGAGCACUUGGAAAGGAAUUAGUUGGUUUGAAUUGUUAUUUGGUUUCUAUAUUAAAGAAUUGAAUUUGGAAAGGGAUUUUUAAACAUUCAAAUGGAGAAAACAUGACUCAAAUUUUAUUAUUUCUUUUCAUACUGAUUUUUAUAUUAUUUUAAAAAUCCAAUUAAAAUCUUAAGGCUUUUUUUAAGACAUAAAGUAGAAUUUUGUUGAAAAAAAAACCAAAUUUACAAUAUUGUUAUAUUUGAUUAAUUCCACAGAUUUUUUAAGACAUAAAGUAGAUUUUUAUUGAAAAAACAUAAAAUUUAAAAUAUUAUUACAUUUGAUUAAAAUUAAUUAAUCAAAUUUCACAAUUUUUUUUUUUUUAUAGUUUUAAGACAUAAAAAAAGAGUAAAGAUUGUUUAAAAAAAAUCUACUUUAUGUCUAAAAAAGGCAAAAUGCUACACUCACUCCCUAAUAUUUUUCAUUGAAUUUCAAAAAAUAAUAAAAAAUAUUAUGAAAAGAAAUAAUGUAAAUGAAAAAAAUGGGAAACUUGUGUUUUAAAGCCCUUAUUUAUAAAAUAUAUGGUAUUCAGACCCCAAGUUUAUGAAAUAUGAAAAGUAAUCAUUAAUGGGCAAAAUAAUAUGAGAAGUGUGCACUCUAUGCUGAGUCAAUUUUGUCUGCCCAAAUUGCCCUAGAUGUUUGCUACAUCAGCAGCCAAAUAGCCUCUACGUCAUACUUAAAUAAAUAAAAAAAAUGAAACUUGACAAUUACAAAAAAAAAAAAAAAAAACCACCUAACUGGACUUUGGUUGUCCCCUUCUCUCUCUCUCAUUUUAGCAAAAAAAAAAACCUUGAGUCGAUCAACAUUUAACUUUCUUCUCAGAAACUCCCGUAACCCUAAAUCUGCAUUUUAGUUUGUCAGCAACCAAAUCGGAGAUUUUCCCUAAGCUGGAAUCUUAAAAACUUGCCAUUUUAGAAGGUCAUUUGAAAUCUGAAUCGGCUAAAACCUUCAUGUCUAACAAACCAAACUGAUACCCUUCUUCCCGGAUUCUCAGACUUCUUUGUUUGUCUCUUAAUAUCCUAAUUAGCCAAACCUGUUUUUCUCUUAACAUCCUAAAUAGCUGAAGUUGAUGCCCAUCUUCCAAAUACCUUGAAAUAAAC